rnacentral:rRNA from 1 species
AGAGAGAGACAUGCGCGCAUAUCAAUAAGCGGAGGAAAAGAAACUAACAAGGAUUCCCCUAGUAACGGCGAGUGAAGCGGGAAGAGCUCAAAUUUGAAAUCUUAAAGGGUUUCCCUUUACGAAUUGUAGUUUAAAGAAGUGUUUUCUGUUGAGGUUUUGGUAAAAGUUCUUUGGAAUAGGACAUCAUAGAGGGUGAGAAUCCCGUAUUUGACCUUUACUUUCAACUUUGUGAUACACUUUCAAAGAGUCGGAUUGUUUGGGAAUGCAGUCCAAAAUGGGUGGUAAAUUUCAUCUAAAGCUAAAUAUUGGCGAGAGACCGAUAGCGAACAAGUACCGUGAGGGAAAGAUGAAAAGAACUUUGAAAAGAGAGUUAAACAGUACGUGAAAUUGUCAAAAGGGAAGCGUUUGACACCAGUGUUGUUUUCUCGAAAAUCAAUUAAAGAGCUGUUUAUGCUAAGUUGUUUAGACUUUAUCAGCUAACUGUUUAGUUUUGAGCUUUUCUUUAAUGCACUUUUCAGUUAACAAGUCAACAUCAAUUUCUUUUGCUGUAAAAAAGCUUGAGGAAGGUGGCUUGAGAUUCGUCUUAAGUGUUUAUAGCCUCUUGCCUAUGCAGUCGGAGAGAUUGAGGUCUGCAGCGUAGAUCCUUCGGGGCUAAAUGCAUUUGUGCUAAGUUAUAGCAUUUUAUAGACAACUUGUUGACUAUGAUUUGUCUUGUAGCUUACUCGCCUAUGUUAUUUUACCUACGCUUAGGAUGUUGAGCGCAUGUCUCUCUCU